rnacentral:snRNA from 1 species
AUCGCUUCUCGGCCUUUUGGCUGAGAUCAAGUGUAGUGUCUGUUCUUAUCAGUUCAAUAUCUGAUACGUCCUCGAUGAGAGGACUUUAUAUUAAACGGAUUUUUGAUGCCUUUU